CAGAGACUAACACAUUUCUCUAUAUCAGGAGCAAUGGCGGGGUGGGCCCUAACUUGUUUACAAUUAGAGAUUCAGUUUCCUUUUCUGUAAAAAGGUGUUAAUACCAGCCAGCAGGGUUGUUAUUGAGAUUUAAAUAAACUAUCUGGCAGCUUUUACUAUUACUCUAUUCUCUCCUGGCUCCUUACUAGCUAGAAUGUGGGUCCAUCCCUCAGGGAUUUCUGAGGCCAGAGUGAGUGCCCGGUCUUCACCUUUCAUAAACACUGCAUUUCUCACCAACACCCAAACACCCCUUCCUAAGCAUCCUCCUCUCUUUUUGUUUUUGCUUAUAUGAGGUGCCUGACAGGAGGGAGUAAUCACAGCCAUCUCUCCGUUACUCCUUUUCCUUGUAUCCUGCUCUCCCCAAUCACCCUCAGCGACUUGCUUUCCCCUUAGCCUAUGUCCUCCACUCUCUUUCCCAGCCCAGCCAUGGUCUCUGGAGAUGACGCUGCACAGCAGAGCUGGAGCUGAACUUGGAACCACAGAUAGUUUCAAGCUCCCAGAAAUCUCAGGGCAGAAGCACAGAUGGCCUCUGGAGCUCCUGCCUGGUGGGACCAUGAGCUGGCAGCUGCUGUGGCUUGGCUUCCUCCUCCCCAUGGUGGUCUCAGCCCGGGCUCUAGGGCCUGCAGAGAAGGAGGCAGCAGUGGAUUACCUGUUGCAGUAUGGGUACCUACAGAAGCCUCUAGAAGGACCUGCUGACUUUAGGCCAGAAGAUAUCUUGGAAGCUCUGAGGCAAGAAGAGCCCAGAGACAGGGGAUGAGGAAGAGGAGACAGACCUCCCUUCUGGGCCACAAGUAUCUACAGAACACAGUCCUGUGCCGGACCCCUGUGGUGGUGAACUGGAUGCCAUCAUGCUGGGAGACAGGGUGUGGCGCUACAUUAAUUUCAAGAUGUCUCCUGGCCUCCCCAAGAAGCUGAACAGGGUAGCACCCAACCUGGAUGCAGCUCUCUAUUGGCCUCUCAACCAAAAGGUGUUCCUUUUUAAGGGCUCCGGUUACUGGCAGUGGGACGAGCUGGGCCAAACUGACUUUGGCUACUACCCCAAACCAAUCAAGGAGCUGUUAACUGGAGUGCCAGACCCGCCCUUGGCAGCCAUGAGCUGGAGGGAUGGCCGUGUCUACUUCUUCAAAGGCCAACAGUACUAGCGCCUCAACCAGCAGCUUCAAGCAGAGAAAGGCUACCCCAAGGGUACUGCCCACAACUGGAUGCAUUGCGGUCCCCAGAACCCAAACACUGCCCUGUCUGGUGGGGACACCCCUCUCCCAGCCACAGGAACUACCUUACCCAAAGACACAAUCUCAGACAUGACCCCCUCCACCACAGGUCCCACCAGCCUUGUAUUCCCUGGGACAGUCACACUCCUAGUAGCCUAGGACCUGAACCAAAUGUUUGCUUACUAGGCUGCUGGUGCUGCAGCAGGGUCAUGAACCACAGAAUGCAGGCCUCUGUACAUCGCAGCUCUAGCCACCACUCCAGCGCUUUCUCUGCUGGGCAGUGACUCCUUAAUGCUGGGUCAGCCCCCACCUCUUGGCUUCUUCCCCACUCUAGACAGCCUUUCAAUUGUUAUCUACUGUCUGGAGGGCAGUGGUGGAGGGAAGGUGUUAACCAGGCCUUUGGCUGACAGGAGGUGCCAGCUGGGAAGCUGUUAUUCCUGAUAAAUUGCAAGAAAACAGCAUGGCCAGUAAAAUGAGCAAGGGCUUUGGAGUCCUUGAGAAUCAUAUUUACCUGCUUGUGACAUCAGGUGAGUUAAUUAACCUUGUUGAGCCUCGGGACCCCCAACUGCAAAAUCAGGUUAAUAUCAGUCCUGCAGGGUUGUCACAUUAAGUGAAAUACUGUAUGUGAAGUGGUACUGUGUCUGGCACAUUUGUGCUUCAUAAAGGCUAACUCCAUGUUCAUAAGAAAGGCCCAAACAGCUCUUUGUGUGGCUGUGUGUACAACUGUCCAGUCUGAUAAAGGAACUCUUACCAGA